rnacentral:rRNA from 1 species
UACGUAGGGGGCAAGCGUUGUCCGGAUUUAUUGGGCGUAAAGAGCGUGUAGGCGGUUUGGUAGGUCCGCUGUGAAAACUCGAGGCUCAACCUCGAGACGCCGGUGGAAACCAUCAGGCUAGAGUCCGGAAGAGGAGAGUGGAAUUCCUUGUGUAGCGGUGAAAUGCGCAGAUAUCAGGAAGAACACCCGUGGCUAAGGCGGCUCUCUAGUACGGUACUGACGCUGAGACGCGAAAGCGUGGGGAGCGAACAGG